UACGUAGGGUCCGAGCGUUUGUCCGGAAUUAUUGGGCGUAAAGGGCUCGUAGGCGGUCCGUCACGUCGGGAGUGAAAACUCGGAGCUCAACUCCGAGCCUGCUUCCGAUACGGGCAGACUAGAGGUAGGCAGGGGAGAGCGGAAUUCCAGGUGUAGCGGUGAAAUGCGUAGAUAUCUGGAGGAACACCGGUGGCGAAGGCGGCAUCCUGGACCGGUAUUGACGCUGAGGCGCGAAAGCCAGGGGAGCAAACGGGG
rnacentral:rRNA from 1 species